UUGAACGCUGGCGGAAUGCUUUACACAUGCAAGUCGAACGAUGAACCUUAGCUUGCUAAGGGGAUUAGUGGCGAACGGGUGAGUAAUAUAUCGGAACGUGCCUUGUAAUGGGGGAUAACUAGUCGAAAGAUUAGCUAAUACCGCAUACGCCCUGAGGGGGAAAGUAGGGGAUCUUCGGACCUUACGUUAUAAGAGCGGCCGAUAUCUGAUUAGCUAGUUGGUGGGGUAAUGGCCUACCAAGGCGACGAUCAGUAGCUGGUCUGAGAGGACGACCAGCCACACUGGAACUGAGACACGGUCCAGACUCCUACGGGAGGCAGCAGUGGGGAAUUUUGGACAAUGGGCGCAAGCCUGAUCCAGCCAUUCCGCGUGAGUGAAUAAGGCCUUCGGGUUGUAAAGCUCUUUCGCAAGGGAAGAAAACUUACCAUCGAAUAAAUGGUGAGGCUGACGGUACCUUGAUAAGAAGCACCGGCUAACUACGUG
rnacentral:rRNA from 1 species